CCUCUCUAUCUAUCUAUCUUGCCUUGGACCCUCCGAAGAAAGAAGGGUCUUCUGAUACCUCUCUGUCUUUCUGUCUCUCCGCCAUAGCUGUUGAUCUUUUCCUCUCAUGGGUUUUGUUUACUCCAUUCAUCACAUGCUUCUGGUUCUCAUAUAUUAGCUGAAUUCAAUCUCUCUCCGGCUCUGCAUAUUUUUUUGUGGGUCUAAAAUUUUGCUUUGUGGGUUUAAAUAAAUGGCCACCAAUGCAUCUAGGUUCUUCACUGCUCCUACAGUUCCGAGCCAGAGGAGGAAGAUUCAGCCUUCAAUACGCAUUUUUGGAUCUGGGUUUCGUUCCCCUGAGGAAUCUCCAAGAGGGUAUUCUGCUCCAGCACUUUUGAAGGCGCAGAGAAGCAUGUUGGAGCUUCCGCUUUUGAAUCUCGAUCACCCAAGCUUGUCAAUAAAGGCUGCAAGUUAAUUGGAUGCAGCUCAGCAGUACCCAGUCUUAAGAUUUCAAAUGAUGAUCUUGCGAAAGUAGUAGAUACUAACGAUGAAUGGAUAUCUGUUCGCACUGGGAUUCGUAAUCAACGAGUUAUUUCAGGGAAGGUCAUACUUUUCUGUGCAUGAUAAUGUCAUUAAUUUGGUAAACAGGUUGAGGUAGCUUAGCCUGUGUUGAGCCUCUUUUUUUAAAUCGCAUGCUAUGGGUUUAACUUAAAAAAUUCAGCUUCAUAGUCUCAUACUUGUGGUGCAUAUGCACUGCAUUACAAGUGGAAACAAUCUGUUGGACCUCUCAGGUUGACGAUUUUAAUCUUGCCUAGGAUAAGGUUCGUUAGGUAGCGGCUUGUAUGACCUUCUUUCUGUCGCUAUUGAACGAAAUCUGUUGCAUAGUACCAUGGCUUCACCAUUCUAUUCGGACAGCUGAAACUAUAAGCAUAUGGCGAGGUUUGACCUGAUUAAUGCUGGUAGUGUAAGAUGUGUAAGAGCCUAAAAGGGAUUUUCCUAUGUUGUACUGGAUAUUUGAAUGCUUUUACCUUUUAUCUGAACACUUAUUUUAGUCAAAUAUGUGUCUCUUUCCUCGUCCUCAUUUUUAUAAAGGGGUUCUAUUUCAAACAAAAGUAGAUUCUUGUAUCCUUGUGGGCAUCUAUGUCUAAGAACUUUAGAAGAGUUCCCAUUAGCGCGAUUUAUCUUGACUGGACUGGAGUUUUGUACUAGAUGUGACAUGCUCUUUUUGGUUUGUUCAGUAUUUGGUUGAACUACCGCUGGCUGACUUUUAAAAACUGUAGCUUUUUAAGGUCUCUUCUUUAUAUUCCUAGUAGGUUAUUUUAUUGAUUAAGUUUGUUGUGCUUAUAUAGUUUUAUGCUUUUCCCAUGGCACGAACUUUGACCAACUAUGUGAACUAUACUGGACUAUAUUGAUCGCGAUUCACACGUGAUAUAGAACAAACAACUGAGUGUUACUCUAUUUUGCAUGUUAGAAACCCCUGUGCAGUGCAAGUGGAGCUAAAUAUUGAUGUUGUUGAGCUUCGCAUUUUAAUGAAUGCUUGAGCAAAAAUUCAAACUCUUAGUGCUUAUUAAAAAGGUCGUACCCAGUGCACAAGGCUCCCGUUUUACGCAGGGUCUGGGAGAGGUGAAUGUCGGCUAGCCUUAUCCCCAUUUAUGGAGAGGCUGCUCCCAAGUCUCGAACCCGAGACCUACCGCUCAUGGGCGAAGGCACUUGCCAUCGCACCAAGUGCGACCACCCUAAACCCUAAACUCUUAGUGCUUAUUGAAGAGUCAAAAUUAUAUUAUAUAUUUCACCCUAUUCUUAGUGUAAUUUGAUAAUUAUUUUGGUAGAAUUUUGAUACUUUGCUUUAUAUUUUCAAUAUAGGACAUUCAACUUCCUCUGGAGCAAAACGUGACCAAACGGGCGAAUUUUGGACUGAUUCAAAUUGGAGGACGUUUGUGUGUUCCUUAGCUUGUUAGUAUCAAAAUCUCAACAAUUUCUACCAAGCGGUUAUUUUCUGGAGAUUAAAUGAAGGAGCAGUGUGCAUUGCUGGAAAGUAACGUUUCUGGGCUUAAACUGCAUUUUUGGAGCCCAAGAUGACUUCAGAUGGGUUCGUGGUCUUCUGGAGAAGUGUUCAGAAUAGUCAAAGCUUUAAAUCCAGCGAUUUUGGGCCAAUUUUGGAGCUGAUUUGGGUUCAAAACGUGGCUAUGCAGAUUUUUGGGCGAAUUUACCAAUUCAAUUUAGGAUUAUGUUUCCUAUUUUGUUUUAAUUUAUUUAGUUUUCUUGUCUUAUUCGAAGACCUUUUAUUAGGAGGAUUUUAUUUAGAGUAGUAUAAAUAAGCCUUUUGGCAAACCUAGGGUUUUUGGGGAGAGAGAGAACGCAUACAAUUUUUGGAAAGAACUUUUGGGGCAAAGCUUAGAGGUUUCAAGACUUAUACUUUCAAGGUGUUUUCAUUCUUUUUUCUAUUUCGACAAAGACUCUAUGAUUUUUAUUAUGAAUAUGCGUAACUAAUUUUCUUUUGC